ACGGAAGGCAGCAGUGGGGAAUAUUGCACAAUGGGGGAAACCCUGAUGCAGCGACGCCGCGUGAGCGAAGAAGUAUUUCGGUAUGUAAAGCUCUAUCAGCAGGGAAGAAAAUGACGGUACCUGACUAAGAAGCUCCGGCUAAAUACGUGCCAGCAGCCGCGGUAAUACGUAUGGAGCAAGCGUUAUCCGGAUUUACUGGGUGUAAAGGGAGCGUAGACGGGACAGCAAGUCUGAUGUGAAAGGCGGGGGCUCAACCCCUGGACUGCAUUGGAAACUGUUGACCUUGAGUGCCGGAGAGGUAAGCGGAAUUCCUAGUGUAGCGGUGAAAUGCGUAGAUAUUAGGAGGAACACCAGUGGCGAAGGCGGCUUACUGGACUGUAACUGACGUUGAGGCUCGAAAGCGUGGGGAGCAAACAGGAUUAGAUACCCUGGUA
rnacentral:rRNA from 1 species